rnacentral:pre_miRNA from 7 species
UAUCCUUUUUCGGUUAUCAUGGUACCGGUGCUGUAUACGUGAAAGGUACAGUACUGUGAUAACUGAAGAAUGGUG